rnacentral:lncRNA from 1 species
CACAUUUUCGCCUUAACCAUCGAAUACCUGAGAAUUGCCUGGUAGUGCAUACAAAUCGCUCUUGAUGUCUAUAAAUAGUUUGCACAUGCGCAAAAGUGUGAAACACAUGUGUAUCAUAACCUUGAAAAAUGUUAUUAAACCAAUUCAUAAUAUCAUUAGAAAUCCAAAAACACUAAAUAUAUAGUAAAUAGUUCAAAUGUUUUUGAAAGAAUUUUGUUACAUUUUCGCGCAUGCGCAAAUACUGGAUAUGUCAAAUAUUCAUUUUUAAUAAAUAUGUGAUGUAAGGAAGGUAGCCACCAAACCUGGUAAUUGGUUUUUUACUAAAAGAAGUUCAAAGAAAAGUUUUCCAGAAAAAUCAGUAUUUUCAAACUAAAGAAAACAGCCAUUUUAGAAAAUGGCCGUGGCCAUCUUGAAAAAAAUAUUUUUUUUAAUGGCCAGCAGUUAUUUCUUACAAAGUAUAUAAUAAUGAUGCUUUGUGGUAAUUUUCAUGCUUGUAUCAUCAUUUGCACAAUUCCCUCGAUUUUGCUUGCUAAUAUCUUCCACUA